rnacentral:rRNA from 1 species
AAAACGACUCUCGGCAACGGAUAUCUAGGCUCUCGCAUCGAUGAAGAACGUAGCAAAAUGCGAUACUUGGUGUGAAUUGCAGAAUCCCGUGAACCAUCGAGUUUUUGAACGCAAGUUGCGCCCGAAGCCAUUAGGCUAAGGGCACGUCUACCUGGGCGUCUC